UGCCCGGGUGGUGGAACGGCAGACACAGCCGCCUUAAAAGCGGCAGCCGAAAGGCGUGCGGGUUCGAGUCCCGCCCCGGGCACCC
rnacentral:tRNA from 1 species